rnacentral:tRNA from 1 species
UGGGUUAUAGCUUAAAAUGAAGCAUCUCAGUUACGUUGGGAAGAUCACUAAGUAUUAGUGUAGCUCAA